UGAUACAAACCUUCCAUGUUUGUUACAUAAAAACGACCAAAAAUAUGAAUAAAAUUCUCAUAUUUGUUUGUGUGAUCAUCUUCUUUAUUUUCUUACUUUCGAUAGUAAAUAAUGUAAAUGCGGGAAUUAGCUAUCCUUGUACCCUACAUUUGUAUUGUCAUAUUAUUUGUUUUCCUUUGAAAGGACAUUGUACUAAUGGUCAAUGUACCUGCACUCGUGGGUGCAUGCUUAAUCCGUAAAAGUAAAGUUGAAAAUUUAUUAUAUGUUUGUUCAAAUUUUAUAAAAAUUUUAUAACUUGUAAUAUUGCCACUUAUAUGAUUACUUUCAUAUUUUGAUUUAUGUUACUCAGCCUUUCAAUUUUGUUGAUAAUUAAUGAAGCGGGUGUCUUCAUUUAGAGAUCUACAACAAGGACAAAGGAAGGUAAACAUUAAUAACUUAAGUCACAAUUUUAGAAUAACUUAGUCUAGUUUUAUUGUGAAGAUAAAUAAGCCUUACAUGCAUAGAGCCAUUAUCCCCAAGACGUAGUGGACAAUUCUCCUUAUAGUUAUUUUAAGACAUCAAUUGUAAGAUUUUAAAUGAAAUAUAUUUUGUUUUUUAGUGAGAA